rnacentral:rRNA from 1 species
AAACCAACAAGGAUUCCCCUAGUAACGGCGAGUGAACCGGGAAGAGCUCAAAUUUGAAAUCUGGCGUCCUCAGGGCGUCCGAGUUGUAAUCUAUAGAGGCGUUUUCCGUGCCGGACCGUGUCCAAGUUCCUUGGAACAGGAUAUCAAAGAGGGUGACAAUCCCGUACUUGACACGACGACCGGUGCUCUGUGAUACGUCUUCUACGAGUCGAGUUGUUUGGGAAUGCAGCUCAAAAUGGGUGGUGAGUUCCAUCUAAAGCUAAAUAUUGGCGAGAGACCGAUAGCGAACAAGUACCGUGAGGGAAAGAUGAAAAGCACUUUGGAAAGAGAGUUAAACAGUACGUGAAAUUGUUGAAAGGGAAACGAUUGAAGUCAGUCGUGACCGAGAGGCUCAGCCGGUUCUGCCGGUGUAUUCCCCUCGGUCGGGUCAACAUCAGUUUUGUCCGGUGGAUAAGGGCGGUAGGAAGGUGGCACCCUCGGGUGUGUUAUAGCCUGCCGUCGCAUACAUCGGGUGAGACUGAGGAACGCAGCUCGCCUUUAUGGCCGGGGUUCGCCCACGUCCGAGCUUAGGAUGUUGACAUAAUGGCUUUAAACGAC